rfam:Schistosoma mansoni, Puerto Rico, WGS project CABG01000000 data, contig: 0041
AUCUAGCCGAUGAGUCCUAAAUAGGACGACACGCGUAUCCUGGAU